AUUGAACGCUGGCGGCAUGCCUUACACAUGCAAGUCGAACGGCAGCAUGGAGGAGCUUGCUCCUCUGAUGGCGAGUGGCGAACGGGUGAGUAAAGCAUCGGAACGUACCGUGUAGUGGGGAGUAACGUAGCGAAAGUUACGCUAAUACCGCAUACGCACUGAGGUGGAAGACAGGGAGUCGCAAGACCUUGCGCUAUACGAGCGGCCGAUGUCAGAUUAGCUAGUUGGUAGGGUAAAGGGACCUACCAAGGCGACGAUCUGUAGCUGGUCUGAGAGGACGACCAGCCACACUGGAACUGAGACACGGUCCAGACUCCUA
rnacentral:rRNA from 1 species